GCCGGCGCUGGUAGUGUAGGGGUUAAGCGCAUGACCAUUUAUAGAGGCUAUAGUCCUCGAUGCAGUUGUCCCGGGUUUGAGUCCCGGACCUGGCG